CUGAUCCAGCAAUACCAGGCGUGUGUGAAGAAGGCCUGAGGGUUGUAAAGCACUUUCAAUAGGAAGGAAUACCUACCGGUUAAUACCCGGUAGACUGACAUUACCUAUACAAGAAGCACCGGCUAACUCCGUG
rnacentral:rRNA from 1 species